AUGGAAGCUGACUGGAGAGCCAACAAGUGAAGAGGGCAAAGGAGCAGAAGAAACAAACAAGGAGAUGAAAUUAAGCUUCCUUUCCGCUGCUACCUGAAUAUGGGUGAGGAAUAAAUGUUACAGGUAGGAAGUAUGGUAAAAGAUUGGCAUUGCUGCUUCAUUCCCCAAGUCCUGGCAAUGCCAUUUUAGCCUUCAGUUCAGGCAUACCCUGUCCUUCUGGAGGUUUCCGUGCAAUGCCGAUGUCACUUCCUACACGUCAAAGCCCUUUUCCCUCCCCUCCUCCUGAGAGUUUAAUGGUGUAUUUGCAAACAAAUCUGCUUUGACAUCAGCGUUAAUUGCUAAACAUUCCUACCCGCCACCCAAACGUGCUCAAGGUUCUCCGGGGAAGAAGAAUGGCUAUUAAAACACAUGGAGGCUGCCUUGAGCUCUCCACGAAGAGAGAGAGAGAGAAGAGAAUCAUAAUCCCAAAUCCUUCCUGCAGCCAGGAAAACUUCAGUUCAACCAACUCUCGACGUCAGAAGGGGGUAUCAACACUUUGGAAGGAUUGAGUUGCUGGCCUUUGGAUGGGACAGGUCAACAAAACCAGCUGGUCAGAUUUCUUGUAAAGAUCUUCGUAACCUCACCCCAUGCCACCCAUUCCCAAUGCACCUCCCAGCCCCCGUGGCCACUUGCCACUAAAGGCCGCUACCAUUUUCCCGAAAGCGAGUGCUAGGAGACUGAAAUGCUGGCUUUUCUGAACACAGAGCGGUCAACUUUGCUCUAGAACGGAGGUCUCCAAACUUGGCAACUUUAAGACUUGUGGGCUUCAACUUCCAGGAUUC